CCUACUGGAGGCAGCAGUGGGGAAUAUUGGACAAUGGGCGAAAGCCUGAUCCAGCAAUGCCGCGUGAGUGAAGAAGGCCUUCGGGUUGUAAAGCUCUUUUACCCGGGAAGAUAAUGACUGUACCGGGAGAAUAAGCUCCGGCUAACUCCGUGCCAGCAGCCGCGGUAAUACGGAGGGAGCUAGCGUUGUUCGGAAUUACUGGGCGUAAAGCGUACGUAGGCGGCUUGGUAAGUCAGAGGUGAAAGCCCACGACUCAAUCGUGGAACUGCCUUUGAGACUGCUUCGCUUGAAGAUGGGAGAGGUUAGUGGAAUUCCGAGUGUAGAGGUGAAAUUCGUAGAUAUUCGGAAGAACACCAGUGGCGAAGGCGGCUAACUGGACCAUUCUUGACGCUGAGGUACGAAAGCGUGGGGAGCAAACAGGAUUAGAUACCCUGGUAGUCCACGCCGUAAACGAUGAUAACUAGCUGUCGGGGCUCUUGGAGCUUCGGUGGCGCNGCUACGCAUUAAGUUAUACCGUCCGUCGGGUAGGUACGGUCCGGCCGAACGGUUAAACCGUAACCGAAAGGAAAGUUAGGUACGGCGUGGUAGACGUUGCCGAACGGACGACGACGAGGGAGGUUAGG
rnacentral:rRNA from 1 species